AUUGAACGCUAGCGGGAUGCCUUACACAUGCAAGUCGAACGGAGUGGCGAACGGGUGAGUAAUGUAUCGGAACGUGCCCAGUCGCGGGGGAUAACUACGCGAAAGCGUAGCUAAUACAGCAUCCUAUUGGAGCGGCCGAUACCGGAUUGGCUAGUUGGUGGGGUAACGGCUCACCAAGGCCACGAGCCGUAGCUGGUUUGAGAGGACGACCAGCCACACUGGGAUGGAGACACGGCCCAGACUCAGACGGUAGGCAGCAGUGGGGAAUUUUGGACAAUGGGGGAAACCCUGAUCCAGCCAUCCCGCGUGUGCGAUGAAGGCCUUCGGGUUGUAAAGCACUUUUGGCAGGAAGGCGGUACCUGCAGAAUAAGCACCGGCUAACUACGUGCCAGCAGCCGCGGUAAUAC
rnacentral:rRNA from 1 species